ACUAUAGAUGACCUGAGGCCCCCUGGACACCAGGAGGAGCCCUCAGCACCAGAGACCAGCAACAACAGUGACUGUUGUAGCUGUACACAGCCCGUGCCCGACAUGAUCAACGGCGCCACCAGGAACGACACUCCCACGUCUCUAACAGGCCAGUGUGGGGCGCUGUGUGAAACCCAGCAGCAGCAGUGUAGUCCACCAGUCCAGGAUGACAGACAGCUGGUCAGACACGUCCUGUUGUGUCUACUCCUCAUAGUUUCCCUGCUGGCUGUGAGUGUUAUCUACAGUUCUGUUCAACUCUAUUCUGUUCUGCUCUGUUCAACUCUAUUCUGUUCUGCUCUGUUCAACUCUAUUCUGUUCUAUUCUGUUCUACUCUAUUCUGUUAUAUUAUACUCUACUCUGUUCUAUUCUGUUCUACUCUAUUCUGUUCUGCUCUGUUCUAUUCCGUUCUACUCUAUUCUGUUCUACUCUACUCUAUUCUGCUCUACUCUACUCUAUUCUGUUCUACUCUAUUCUGUUCUAUUCUGUUCUACUCUAUUCUGUUCUACUCUGUUCUAUUCUGCUCUACUCUACUCUAUUCUGUUCUACUCUAUUCUGUUCUAUUCUGUUCUACUCUAUUCUGUUCUACUCUGCUCUGUUCUAUUCUGUUCUACUCU
rnacentral:lncRNA from 13 species